GUGGAACAAUACAUAGGAAUUGCUCAGGAUACCACUCCUAUCACAGCUUUGUUAACAAAUAGUGGCUAUUGUAAUAUAAUAGAGUAAUUUGGGUACAUACGAUUUAAUGGUGUGAACUAGUGUCUUAGUGACACCACCAAUUUGUUUCUAAAUACAUCUUAAAUGAGUAGGAAAGCUGAGUAGAUGGGUAAGUGAUAUGGUCAGAGACCACUUUAUUAGAAAUUUCUCUUUAUCAAUGCAGAAAAUUAAAAUCUUGCUCUAUAAUACUCAGUAAUAAAAUUAGAAAGCAAUAUUUGAAAAAAUUAGUGCACUAUGUUAUCAGAACUAAUGCACUAAUCUUAAUUUUGCUGCUUACUGGCCACAUGAGUUUGAACAAAUUGGAGUUCUGCUUACAUUGUGACCAAGAUCUGAACAAACCGAACUCCCUCAGAUAACAAUAUACUCUGUAUAAAAUGGUGUUCUGCAAAGUGAGCAAAAUCGGGAAGAUUCUAGAGGGACUUUGAAACUUGGACAAAUGGACCAACAAAGGUGCCUUGUUGUUGCACUAUAAUAAGCCUGGAUAACCAUCAAGGUCUAAAAAUACCAACUUAGGCUCUAUUUUUGGGCCCUUGCAUCUGAAGGCUUUUGUGCACAUGCUGGUGGGUUUUGAACUUACAGAGGAUUUGUGUCCUUACAGACAAGGAUAGUUGGAGCUCCCCACUGACCUUUCAGAGUUCAGACCCUUUGCUGUUGAGUUUACUGUUGGCUGUGCUGCCUUUCCUCACUUUAACGGAGUUGCCUGGUCCUGAAAUAAACUAUAGGUUUGUCAGCAUUGUCAUGUGAAUUGUUUUUAGACAUUGAAGCCUGUCUUUCAUUUCAAUGAUAAGCGUAAAAACCCACAUUCUUUCUGGCCUGAAGAAUUGGAAAACAGUUUGAGGGAUCCACAGACUCUUGAAAUUGAAGGGAGAAUCCAAUUCUGCGUAAAAUUUUUGCCUGUAUCCCUACUGAUCCCUGAACGACACGUGUGGGGCAGACAGCAAAGAGGACAUGGUAAAGAAAUAAAGAAU
rnacentral:lncRNA from 1 species